rnacentral:rRNA from 6 species
CAUCUAGCAUGUGCGCAAGUCAUUGGGUAUUUAUAAUAAACCUAAAGGCGUAAUGAAAGUAAAUAUAUAUAUAUAAUUUUUAUAAUUAUAUUUUAUAAAGGGAAGAUGGGUAACGUUAUUUAUGUUACCUCGCAUUCCCGGGGCGUCGCAUACUUAUUGCAAGUUGCGGCGCACCAAGAGCGUACACGCUGGGACCCGAAAGAUGGUGAACUAUGCCUGGUCAGGAUGAAGUCAGGGGAAACCCUGAUGGAGGUCCGUAGCGAUUCUGACGUGCAAAUCGAUCGUAUGAACUGGGUAUAGGGGCGAAAGACUAAUCGAACCAUC